ensembl:lincRNA Gm3764 predicted gene 3764
CUUGGUUUAUGUGCCUGGCUGGAGGAGACACCCAUGGCCUUGCAGAGGGAGCGUUCUGGUGGGAAAGCAGACACAACCCACCCUAGGCCCGUGGUUUCCCUGCAAGAAGCCCAGUGGCUUUCUGGAGGACACUUUUCCUGGAGGAAGUGACUCAAGAGCAGCAUAAGCCAGGCUCUAUGGAAUGUUGGGUGAGCUGCUUGAGGAACUCCAAGGCCUGUCCCACAGUCUUCCAGCCUCCGACUCUCCGGCCCUCAGCGAGGAAGUCCCACUGGUUUUUUUGGUUGGUUUUUUUUUUUCUCAUUCCUGUCUUGGGAGCUUUCCCCAACCAGGAGAGUGAAGAUGGGCGGAGCUGUCACACCAACUGUUAGCCUGCCUUGGCUGAGAGGAGAGGAGGCGAGGAGGGAGCGACCACCCAGCUUUAGUCGUUUUAAAACAGCUCCUGACCCUAGAAGAAGGGAAAUGGAGAUGAAGACCCAAUUGACUUGGUAUGAAGUUUAAAUGCCCCUUCAAGACUUGGGGGUCGAGGACGGCUUCCCUCCCUCCCAGUGCUGAUUUCCUGUGGACCAGAUUCCAGCACAGUGGAGGGCCAGAGCUCAGGGAACAGACCCAGCAGCACAGCAAGUCUCCAAGGAAAGCUCUAGCAGUCUCCAGGGGCUGAAGGCAGGACUGGGGAAGCGGCUAGCCAGGCUGCAGAAGGCAAAUGCUCCCAGACGGCUGUCCAGCACGCAUCCGCCUUCCUAGCCAAGUUUCCUGGGCUCCUGCCACAGAUCUAAGCCUCAUCCUGACAUCCUGCCCUCUGUGCUCUGGGAUGGCCCAGGGGAGAUGCUUAGCCUUGGCUCCUUGUCUGCUGGUGGAGGGGACACACACCCUUUCUGGACCACAGACCAAAAAGAAGACCUGACGUCAUCCUGAGCACCCCCGCCAUGCAGAGUGUGUUCGCAGACUGCCAACGGGCUGGCUCCGGCCAGCAGAAGUGAACAGAGGUGGAGGUUCAGCCUGACAGCUUCUCCCCAAAGCCAUGGAGAGAAAACCUUACCACCCCCACCGCCCAGCUACUUCCAGCAAGUUGUCCAGCCUGACCCCUCUAUUUCCCCUGUUGUCUCUUAUCUGGGUCCCUGAGACCCACCCCAUCUCCAAUAAAGAACAUUGCAUACUGUG